AAACAGUACGAAAGAAAGCCACCACAGCCAGGACCCCAACCACACUGGCACGAGCUGCGGAUGCUGGCGAAGCAGGAACUUCCUCAUCGCACCAAACUCCACAAAGGCGCCCUCCCCAGGGGUCUGUCACUCAAAAAAAGAGGCCAAGCAAGAGACACCAUCCUGAUGUGCAAACGACACAAGCAUUAUCCCCUCCACAACGCUGCAUCUCGACUGUGUCGGCCCAGCCACCAGUUGACAUUUUGGCCAUUCUGCCAUCACAGGAACCACAUUCCCCUCAGCUAUCUGAUGCAGACAUCAUACCCCAAGAUACCCAGCAGGACACAGAUUUACAGGAAACAUUCAUACUCCAACUGCAGCCAAUUGACCCAACCCAACAAACCACACCGCCUGUUAGUACGCCGCCACCACAAAGAUCCCCAACACCACAAUUGAGCCCAACUACACCCCAGCCACAACAACUUGAUCAAGCAUUUUGAGACAGUGGGGCCACACAAGUUACAGGCCCAAAAUCUAGAUUGUCUGCGCACACACAGCCAAUAUCUUGCCAGUCUGUCCCAUCACCUACCUAGACUAAGUAGGAACACCAGCAGACUCAAUGUACAACUAAGCAGAAUGGCAAACACAAUGGAACAGAUGCGAGCAGACAACAGCCAACUAAUUGUAAGUUUACAACGCAUAAUGGAUGAGCAACAUCGUCAUCAGCAAGCCCUCAUUCAAUUAAUUCAAAAUAAUCAGCUAAUUGCUGAAAGUCUGUCCAGAAUCAUUGAAAAUAAUACAUCAGCCACAACCCAACUGAACGCUACACUGUCCAACCUAAGUCCAAACAUCAAUUUGUUGUCAACACAACAAGGCUCCAGCUCAGGGACAACAACACCAAUCCAGAACCCAAUUACCUCCCCAGUAAGAAGAUCGAGCAGAACAUGCUCAAAUGUGCCAUCCCAAGCCUCUGCAGAAACCAAACAUCCCCCCAAAAAAUAAGCUACACCUCUGCUGAAGCACACCUUACAAUGAACCACAACACAAAACACACACAACCAAGAACAAAAACAAGUGAUAGUUUUGUUUGGCUUACUUCAUAAAUAUAUUAAAGUGUGUAAAUAUGUAAA